AAGGUAAAAUAUAUUACCUUGAGGCCUGACGUUUCGGCCAGGUUACACCAGCCGUGGUCGCAGGCAGACUGAUCCAGCGAUGUCACGACUCCGCUGUCAGGGUAGAUGUUUCUUCAUCCACCCUCAACUCAAUUAAUAAAUAAUUCA